CCUACGGGAGGCAGCAGUGGGGAAUAUUGGGCAAUGGGCGCAAGCCUGACCCAGCAACGCCGCGUGAAGGAAGAAGGCCCUCGGGUUGUAAACUUCUUUUAUUCGGGACGAAACAAAUGACGGUACCGAAUGAUUAAGCCACGGCUAACUACGUGCCAGCAGCCGCGUUAAUACGUAGGUGGCAAGCGUUAUCCGGAUUUACUGGGUGUAAAGGGCGGGUAGGGGGGAGAGCAAGUCAGACGUGAAAUUCCAGGGCUCAACCCUGGAAAUGCGUUUGAAACUGUUCUUCUUGAGUGAUGGAGAGGCAGGCGGAAUUCCGUGUGUAGCGGUGAAAUGCGUAGAUAUACGGAGGAACACCAGUGGCGAAGGCGGCCUGCUGGACAUUAACUGACGCUGAGGCGCGAAAGCGUGGGGAGCAAACAGGAUUAGAUACCCGUGUAGUC
rnacentral:rRNA from 1 species